rnacentral:rRNA from 1 species
UACGUAGGGACCAAGCGUUGUUCGGAUUUACUGGGCGUAAAGGGCGCGUAGGCGGCUUGACAAGUCACUUGUGAAAUCUCCGGGCUUAACUCGGAACGGCCAAGUGAAACUGUCAUGCUAGAGUGCAGAAGGGGCAAUCGGAAUUCUUGGUGUAGCGGUGAAAUGCGUAGAUAUCAAGAGGAACACCUGAGGUGAAGACGGGUUGCUGGGCUGACACUGACGCUGAGGCGCGAAAGCGUGGGGAGCGAACAGG